rnacentral:lncRNA from 1 species
AAAGGAACCAGAACUGAACUGAAACUGGCUCAGAUUCAGACCACAAAAGAAAGGUCCCAUUUCCAGCUGGAACAAGUUAUCGCGCCCACAGCUUGACUCGCAGCCAGUGCAAGCUGAUAAACAUCGAGGGCAGGCGCAUGACAUGCCAGGUGAAGCACACGGAAAAAGGUACCAAGAGAAAACGGCACAUCCUGCCCUGUGUUUAUCGAAGUUAAUUUUUACUGUUGCAUCUUUACAGCUGCAGAGAAGCAUUGCGACUUGAUAGAUGGUGGGUGCGACGUCAUUCCACACAUAUGGAUGGACGCUUUCCAAGCAUGCAUGGUACUCGUUACUCGGGAUAAGACUUGGAGCCACCUCCUCCUCCAAUCCCUGCUCCGAUCCUCAGCAUGACACGGUUCAGAGCACCUGGUGCGUCCGUCCCUGUCCGUGUCCGCUUGAGAUCAAAUCAUGCCGACCUGAUUGAUCGAUUCUUAAGCCACGCUCAGACCUUGAUCUCCCUCGUGCAUUGUUCGUCAACCACCUCUUGUCCACGUUCAUUUGUCCGUUGACAUUGUUCAUUAGUCAACCAU